AGUUUUAGGACCUAGGCUACAUAAGUAAACGCUCUUUUAUUUAUAUAUAUAUAUAUAUAUAUAUAUAUAUAUAUAUAUAUAUAUAUAUAAAAUCUUUUUUUUUUUUUUUUUUUUACCUCAGUUGAUGUUAGCUUUUGCUCUUAUUGGGUCCAAAAUGUAUCUGAUAAACAACACAUUCGUUUACACAUUUUUAUUUAUAUCUUUAUUUGACCAAUCACGUCAGAUCGUUUGACACGUAUGAUUGACCAAAAGAAGACAUUGUGAAAAGAAAGCUCUGGACUGCUAAUGUGUAGACGAGGCUAAAAAGUGGUUCGAGAGAGCUGCAAAGCCACCUGAGCGAAGUAGGCUAUGGAUACGUUCAUUUAGUCAAGUGAAAGUCCGCUGCAGUCUCGUCAACAAAGCUCUAUAAAUCGUUGCUAAUAUUACAAUAGGUGCUGAUCUCUGUACAUAGACCUAUACAGUCCAUAAUAUCAAUAAAUAGGUAAUUAAUUUGAUAACACAGGUUUGCUAUAAACGACAUUGAAUUUCAAUACCACGUUGACAAUUACAUAAUGCAGUCACGGAGCGCCCCUUAGCGGCCAUCCUAAGAAAUAUGAGAACCUUUCACUUUCGUUUUUCUUCCAGUAAAACUCAUAAGACGACCGUAUUUUGAACCAACCGACCACCGCGAAAUAAAUAGUUUACAUUGAUGUCAGGAGGCUCUUUUCCCAAGUGCUAUCCUCGCCUUCAAGAUGGAUGGAAAGGCCAUUGAAGUUCUCGGCGUCCCUGGCAGCCUUCUCGCCCCGGACAGGAUGGUUGACAAGCUCACAAUACACUUCCUGAGACCACGCAAUGGCGGCGGAGAGGUUCUGACAGUGAUGUUCCCCACCAGCAUCUCGGGCCGGGCCGUUGUCGUGUUUGAGAAGCCUGAAGUGGCUGACUCUGUCUUGUGGCAGAGCCAUGAUUUGACAGUGGAAGGACAACGCUUUCCUCUUGAAGUCAGGAGAAUGAACAGACUGGAGUUCGACAUGCCGGUCAAGGCCACUGUGGAUGUGACCAUGUUCAACAACGAUGAGGCGGUCCUGCGUCUCCUUCAGUCCCAUGGCUUUCAAGUGACUGAGAGUCGCCCUGGUCAGCUGCUCAUAAUGGGCUCCUUUCUGAAGCUCCGGGCUGUCAAGGCCCAACUCCAGCAGCUGUUAACCGGGGAUCCCCAGCCCCACAGCAGCACACACACGAGCAGGGUCCACGACCAUGCAAACCAGGCUUUAAGCGCAAGACGUUCUUCGGUCAACGGAGAGCAACGUUCACCUCUCCUUCAGACUUCUCAACACUCCGACUUGUUGGACUCAGGCUCUGCUCACAACUUGUCCAGCCCACAGAGGACCAGCCCAUCUCCAGGCCUCCAGGUGGCCGGGCCUGGAGCUAACGUGACCCAGAGGAUGAAGCCGUGCCUCAGGCCAGACGAACACGACUCCCACACCCCAUCACGCAAGUCGCUGUCCUUCUUGACAGAAGAGGAUGUGCUCAACUACGCCCUGUGCUUUAGGAAAAAGGACAUUAAUGGAAUUCUGCAAAGCCACAAUACUGAAAUCGAUGUGAAGAGUACCGGCAGUUCUGGUGUUAAGUGUGUUUUCCUCGACGGUCAGAACCCAGAGAUGGCGGUGGUCAAGCUGCAGAGCGUUCUCAGCCAACUCACGGCAACACUACGCACCCAAGAAAUCAAUCUGUCCUCACUUGAUCACGACAAUCAGGUAAUGGUCAGUAAGCGGAUUCAGAAGUAUAAGGACAUAUAUCCUGCUGUUGUUGUCAGUCAGGUCGGAGAUACUCUUCGCCUCGUAGGUCCUUCCUGUGAUAGUUACGAGAUGAAGCAGAUGCUCCUGGGAAAAGCAACGGAACUGCCACCUGCUGGGAGGACAGGGAGACCGACGGGCCGAAACUCUAGAGACAGGAGAAGUAGUUCUAUGCCCCGCCUGACCCAAAGGGAGGACGCCCCAUCGGGCCAUGGCCCUGCGACCACUGCGGCUUCAUCACACUACUUCCCAUCAAACUACCAGGAUGACCCUGGACGCGGGAGGGCUGACCAGAGGCCUGGAGAAGCCCUGCCCCCUGCAUACUCCUCAAGGGGGAGGAGCGGCUCCGAGAGCCAGUCGAAAACAAACAAUCGGAAGGAGGAACUGGGGCAAGGAAGAGGUACUAGGGAACAAAGGCAGGCCGCACAGAGGCAGGACAAAGGCGAUCUGGGAGUUCCCGCUGCUGGACAUAAGUCCCCACUUGCGAAACUGCAGUCAAAAAUGCCAUCGCUACCAAUGAGCAUGACGAAAACAGAGAUAAAAAAAAAGUUUAAUAUAACCAAGAAGUGGUAAAAGAGGGUUGCGUCCUGCUUUAUGCUAUAUUCUGUUUAGAUGUUCUAGUGGACUGUUAAUAAAUUGAAACAAUAACUUGAGUUCUAAUGUUUUGUGGGAAAAUAUAUAUACUGUAUCUAUAGAUUGUUACAUGAGAAGGAUAGUGUAUGUAAGGGUAAUGUAUGCAGUCUCAACACAGAAUUGUUUGCAUCGUAAUCAUUUAACUGACAGUUAUCAAGAGGUAAUGUGAUUGUGAGGUAAUACAUUUUAUACUCUCUUUUCCAGUUAGCGUCUCACUACUACUGGGCCACGCAAAGCUUUAUUUACAUGUUACCCUUCCUGUUUACCUUCAUAAUGUGAGAUUAAACAGAUGAAUCAGUUUAUUGAUAAGACUCUAAGGAAAAUGCGGUUAUUCUACAUGAUUUCUUCUGAAAAGUUUGUCAUUUGGAUGCAGUAUUUGCAUCAAGCUCAGUUUUAAGCCUUGUUUCACCGUAGGUCACUCUAGUUACACCCUAGUUUCACUCACUAGUUACACCCUAGUUUCACUCACUAGUUACACCCUAGGCCACUAGUUUCACCCUAGUUUCACCCCAGGUUUCACCUCAGGUAUCACACUAGUUUCACCCUCACUAUUACACCCUAGGUCACUUUAGUUUCACCCUCACUAGUUGCACCAAAGGCCACUUUAGUUACACACUAGUUACACCCCAAGCCACACAAAGAAGAAUUAAACCCAUAGGUUCUGUCAUUUAAAUGAUAUAAUUUCAGGCAGUUCUGUGACAGUCUUCUAUGUGCCUGGUUUAUUUAAUAACUGCUUUCUGUUGUCAGAUUCUGAGUAGUGCUCGUCUAGAUCCGGUGUGUUUUGGUAAUAAUGGAGGGAAGUGCUAGAUGGCCAGGCAGACAGACCCCCCCUCCCUUAGCUUUGCUUCCCCUACACAGGAUGUGAUGCAGUCCCCACGCAGUUCACACAGACGAGAACACUGCUUCAACGCUCACUGACUGACAGACGUACUGAUCAGAGAUUGGCAGGUUAGGAGGAAGUCAGUGUAUUUAAGACCAUAUUUGGAGGAUGUAGAUGAGUACAUGUUACAUGUAGGUCAUGGGAAAGCAGCCCUGGUUCAUUAGCUUUUAAUAAUGGACUGAUUCAGACUUUGGACACCAGGUGAGGUUAACUAAAUACCGGGCAGAAAAUAGUAAACAUAGGGUUUCAGCCCCCCAGGACUGAGUUGCUUUUCCCUGACUUAGAUCAUGCAGUACUUUGUUGUCUACCAUGGCCUUCAGUGUCAGCUAGGAGAUGAUGCAUAGAUGAGCAGGUAGUGGAACAGGUGUAUGGAUCAUACAGAUUAUACUGUAUUUAUACCUUUAUGUAAUUUAGCGGAUCCUCUCUCCAAUGUUGAGAUGCACUUUCCCAAGGGCCCUCUGGGAGGAGAAAGGGACAAAUGGAACUCUAUAGGGUUACUUUUAUUUAUUUAGAAGCAGCUGCUAGGGCCCCUGCACCCCCUGCUGGUUGACGUCUGUGGUUUGUCAGUGUCCUGGUCAGUCCCUGGAUGGGAGACCAGAUGCUGGUUGAUGUGGUGUUGGAGGGGCAGUAGGGGGCCCUCUUCCCUCUGGUUUAAAUAUCAAAUCCCAAUGACCUCUAUCUUAUUGGGCAGUAUAUUAAUGUGUCCUGCCUCUUUGUGGUCACUGAAGAUUCUGAUUGUAAGAGUAGUAGUAGUAGUAACACUGGUGUCCAGGCUACAUUUCCAAAGGCCCACCCAAUGCUCCCCUGCUCACAACCGGCCCCUUAUUCCCAGCUACUGGAACUAUAAUACAUUGUGAAGUUCUAAAUGAAUACAAUGUCUAUAAUUUAUAAUUCUCUCUAAGAUCAGAGUCUCAGUUAAAUAAAUUAAAAAGUAAAUGUCCACAGAAGUCCACAAAAAGCAAAUGUCCACAAAAGAAAUAACCAAACACUGAAACACUGAUCGGUCCAAGGAGUCCUGCAAAUGUAAAAUAAAACAAAAACUGUGUGUGAGAG
ensembl:lncRNA